rfam:Draconibacterium orientale strain FH5T, complete genome.
GCGGAUGUGGCGGAAUUGGUAGACGCGCUAGACUUAGGAUCUAGUACCUAUGGUGUGGGGGUUCGAGUCCCUUCAUCCGCA